rnacentral:rRNA from 1 species
CCUACGGGAGGCAGCAGUGGGGAAUAUUGCGCAAUGGGCGAAAGCCUGACGCAGCGACGCCGCGUGAGGGAUGAAGGUCUUCGGAUCGUAAACCUCUGUCAGCAGGGAAGAACGGUCACUGUGCUAAUCAGCAGUGAAUUGACGGUACCUGCAAAGGAAGCACCGGCUAACUCCGUGCCAGCAGCCGCGGUAAUACGGAGGGUGCGAGCGUUAAUCGGAAUUACUGGGCGUAAAGCGCUCGUAGGCGGUAUGUCAAGUCAAGGGUGAAAUCCCCGCGCUCAACGUGGGAACUGCCGUUGAAACUGGCAGACUGGAGUGUGUGAGAGGCUAGUGGAAUUCCAGGUGUAGGAGUGAAAUCCGUAGAUAUCGGGAGGAACAUCAGUGGCGAAGGCGACUAUCUGGCACAUAACUGACGCUGAGGAGCGAAAGCGUGGGUAGCAAACAGGAUUAGAUACCCCGGUAGUC